AACGAACGCUGGCGGCGUGGAUAAGACAUGCAAGUCGAACGGGACAACAUCUGUAGCAAUACAGGUGCUGUUUUAGUGGCGAACGGGUGCGUAACACGUGGGCAAUCUGCCGAGAAGUGGGGGAUAGCUCGCCGAAAGGCGAAUUAAUACCGCAUAUGAUCAGUGAAGACAUCUUCACGACAUCAAAGCCGGGGCAACCUGGCGCUUCUUGAUGAGCCCGCGGCCUAUCAGCUAGUUGGUGAGGUAACGGCUCACCAAGGCUAUGACGGGUAGCCGGUCUGAGAGGACGACCAGUCACACUGGAACUGAGACACGGUCCAGACACCUACGGGUGGCAGCAGUCGAGAAUUUUUGACAAUGGGGAAACCCGUGAUCGAGCGACGCCGCGUGGAGGAUGAAGGUC
rnacentral:rRNA from 1 species